AUGGAGCUGAUGGUUGCUCAAUACUACAUCUUUGUUAUAAUGUUAACCAAAGGUGUCAGCAGUGAUGAGAUCAGACUGGACCAGUCUCCUGUUGUGGUAAAGAGACCUGGAGAAACUGUGAAGAUCUCUUGUAGGAUACAUGGCUUUGAUGUGACUGAGUACUACAUGCACUGGAUACGACAGAAACCAGGGAAAGCUCUGGAAUGGGUUGGAUAUGUGAACUCUGGUACAACAGAUGAACCCCCAUAUGCAGACUCCAUGAAAAGGCAUUUUCUCCUCUCUGAAGAUGUCUCAGAAAGCACACAGUACAUAGAGGCCAAGAGUCUGAGGACAGAGGACACUGGGGUUUAUUACUGCGCUUAUUACUACAGCUGUACUAAAACCAGACACACAUUGUAA